ensembl:snRNA U6 U6 spliceosomal RNA
GUUUUACACUGGCUUCGGCAGCACAUAUACUAAAAUGGGAACAAUACAGAGAAGAUUAGCAUGGCCCCUACACAAGGAUGACAUGCAAAUUUAUGAAGCAUUCCAUAUUUUU